CUGUAGGAUGUAUUUGCUUGACUCAGAAGGACUAGGGAACAUCCUCCACUCCUCGACUAAGCUGUCUAUAAAUAAAAGAGAAGAGAGAAGGAUGACAGAGGGAUAAAGGGGGGAGGUUAAAGAGGCUGCAGAAUGUGCCUGCGACUUGGACAAACUCUGACACUCCUCCCUCUCUGUCUUUAGCCAUGUGUCUGACUAUGAUGAGCAUGGCAGCAUGUGCACUGUUGUCAUGGCUGGCGGGCAAGUUUUUCUGGACUAAAGGAGGACAAGA